rnacentral:lncRNA from 1 species
GUGGGGGGCCUUUCCCCUGCCCCCUGCACCGUUGCCCAAACAUCCCCCCGCCCCCUGUCACCCGCACCCCCCACUUAGCUUCCCCCAUGGGUGCCCACGAGAGCUAAUAGAAUAAAUGUAUAAUUAGUAAAAAGAGUAAUUAGUAAUUUAAUAUAAAUGUAUUAGUAUAACUAAUCAGUAAUUUGUAUUAGCAUAAAUGCCUAAUUAUUAGUAUACUUAAUAAUAUUAAUAAUAUUACAUAUACAUAAUCUGAUACUUAUAACUAAUAAUAUAAUUAUUAUAACUAAUAAUAUUAAAUAUAUUACAUAUAUAUUUACAAUAUAUAUUUAUUUUUUUAGGCGGGUGACGGGGCGGGAGUAUACUCCCCCGUCCCCUGCCCCGUCAAUCCCCGGUAGGCCAGGUGCCUGCCAUCCUUACAACAAACAACUGGCAGAUCCAUGGCGCCCCUAAUUACUCAAAAUAUAAAGUAUUUUGCUUCAAAUGGAUCUUAAUCUGUCAUUGAGAAAAGGUGGCUUUGUAGCAGAUCAACAGUCCAAACAAGAGGUGAUACGAGCAACUCUACAGUCCAAAAGGGAUGAUGAGAAUUUUCCUUUUAAGGGGGGAUCAGAAACAAAGCAUCUGUUUCGUUGUUAAACAAAUCAUUGGGCCAAUAAAUCACUCAAGUGAUAAAAAAAACUGCAGAGCCCAGCAUUUGAACCUUGGUAUGAGCAAAACCUUAUUGCUAUCUUCAUAUAGUUUAAAUUUGGAGGAAAUAAAUCCUUCAGCAUGAUGCUUGGAUCAGCAAUACUAUAGGGCAUAACACCAUCUCAAAAAAAUUGAAAUUAUGGUUAUGUUUAUACUUCUAAGCUUUUAUCUUCUUAUUUCAUUAAUCCUCUAAGGAACUUCCAAGUCAAAAUAACAUGGAAAAAAAAUUCUGUCUCUGUCGGUUGAACAGCUUUAUCAUUCUUUAUAAUUUUCCAAUGCAUUGCUCAAUUCUUAUAAUGCUUUCAUGAUAUCAAAUUGUUAUAGUUCUUUCUACAACUACGAAUAUUAGUCAAGAGUAACUGGUACAAGAUAAAAACUUCAGUGACUGAAACAUCGACGAUUUGGAAACAUUUUAAGGCUAAAGAAGCUACAUUCCCGCAAGGGACAUAUGCAUCCAAGUUUAUCUUGCAUCUAAUAAUUCAUCUUUGCAUCAAUAUGUGCAGCUACAGUGUAACCCAAGCCAUGUGUUACGGUGAUGCACCACAUGUUCUCAAGGACAAUGAAAUGUAUAAUGAGCCAUUGGACUCAAUAAACCAAAAAGAACACAAGGGUAAGUGAGCCCAAACUCAAUAGGAACUCAAACAUGUCAAUGGACACUAAAAGACAAAGUGGACAUGUUUACUGGGGGAAGAAGAAUGGCAAUACAGAAGUCAAGAUUCAUCUUCUUUAAGGCACAACACAAACAUAACUAUGUAGAAGUUACAAUGAAAGCAUGCAGCAACAUAUGCCCAGUGGGUUUGCUCACACGCAUACACAUGGGGGAGAGAGAGAGAGAGAAACUCUAGCUUCAAGCUGAAAUAGUCUAAAAAAGAAAAGGAAAUGAAAGAAAAGAACUUUUCAAAUUCGGCCAUUUCAUUUGUCCGGGGAAAAAAAGGACCACGAAAUCAGAGUAUAGUGUAAAUCAAUAUUAAUUGUAGCAAAACAACUUUCUGAAUGUUAAUUAUAACAUUGACCACAGGUAAUAUGAUGAUUUUGACAUAGAAUGUUUACCUAAUUAUUAGGAAAUCUCCAUAGAUGGGACAGUGCAAAUUGUGUUUCCACGUCAACUAAAAACACAUAUAAUGAAACUUUUCCUAGAUUGAUUUAUGAAAAAGCACAUUUCACCAACUACUAAUAAACCAAGUAUAAAGGUAGAUGUAAGUUGUCAAUACUUGAAUGGUUAUGCCUCAAACUAGAGCAUCCAAUUGAACAGCUCUAAAUUCAUCUAACAGAAUACAACAUUCCUAAGUUGUGAUUAAAUUUGAUUGCAAUCAUCCUUUUAGCAGAUCAAAUUCUUUCCCCACUUACGCAAAUUGUUCAAACUCUAACCACAAAUAAACGCUUGAUCUGUAAUAUUUUUCGCAUAUAAAACUCAAAUCCCCUGAUUUCAGCCCACAAGAGUAUCUUCCCCCUUUCAACCAUGGUCACGUAAACACCUUAAUACCUUAUAACCUCACCUUUUAGCAAUGUCUCAGAUCACCCUUGACAAGUAUAUUGAUUAACCAAAGAGAGAAGUUGGUUUUUUGCAAGCUUACUUGAGACUUAACUACCAAAUUUCACCUCACAAUUUUAAGACAAUAUACAGUUGCCAUUGAUACCCAACCAUCGAAGAUUCUUCCCUCAAGCUCUCUAUAAUUCAACACGAAAUUACUCGAUUGACAUCUCUAGAAUGCCCAAAAUUCAAGUGAAAGCGGAAAAGGCAAACAAAUUAAAUAAGGGAAACAAGCAUAAAAACAUAAAUACAGUGGUACUGAAAACGUACUUGGAGAAAUAUAUGGCUUGCGAUUUGUGCCUGUAGUCGUGACCCGUAAAACAAAUCGGGCUUCCGGAGGCUGCUCCUUAGACACCCGAGACAGCUCCGGGAAUAAACGAAAAUACAUGUAACGACUCUUCUCAAUGGAUAAAAUCCUACGAUCAGCUCAAAAUUAGUCACAAGCUCACAGAAAGUAAAUAUAAACAAAUAAUUCAGAAGCCAAAAGUUCGGAAUUUCUGAUUUUUGGGCCGAAAAGAGGCGGUUAUAUGAGUAGAAAUUACCAGUUCCAGAUACCCAUUUUAAAAGGGUCUGAGCGUUUGUAGGUGGAGGGUCCGAAAGUGUCGAUUCUCCAUUGAGCAAGCCUGGAGAUGGUCUCUACUUUGGAGUCCAUGAGAGCUGUCUAAUCAGCUUAAGACUUCUGAGUGAAGUUAAAGAAACAGAAACAGAAAGUCACUACUUAUAAAGAGGGGAGGGGAAAUGGCAAUUGAGUAGUUUCCACUUUUCAGUCUGACUCAUUUCAGGUUUUCCGCAAUAUUGGAGUGGAGUACACUACAAAGUGGAAGUAAAAGCAGGGUGCCAAUCGAGUCCAAAUCGGAUUGGCGGUUCGAGUUGAAAUCCGAGUAUAACAAAAACCUGUUGACUCGAACCUGAUCCAUCAAUUCGAAAUAGGUCAGGAUAUCUGAGUCGAACCCGAAAAUUUCGAGUUGGCGGGUUGGUGGGUCGAUCUGAAAUGACCCGAUACUUAAUUUUAAUUUAUUAAUUUAUCACUGUAAUUUCUAAUAAAACCAAUUUCACAAGACUAAUUACAUAAUCAAAUAAUAAAAUUUUAAAUAAAUAAUCCCAAACCAAAUUUAAAAUAAAUUAAAACAUCGUAAAAGUGUUUUAUCCCAAACCAAAUUUAAAAUAAAUUAAAACAGUAUAAAAGUAAAAAAUAAUAUAAUACAUUAUUUGUCCAAAUAUAAUAAUUUCAACUUCACACAAGUUAAAUAAAUUCAUUUAGGAUUAAGUGACUAAUGCCUUUGGAAAAAAAGAAUAACUUAGUUUAAUUAGAUAAAAUAAUUUUUAUGUUUAUCGGAUCACCCACGGGUUGACCCGAAUUCGACCCGUUUCCUUUUCGGGUUCAUCGGGUUCGACCAGAUUCUGACCCGAACCCGCGAAACCUUAAUCCAAACCCAUUAAUUACGUGUUAGGUUCAUGUGUGUUUUCAGGUCUUGUCGAAAAUUGUCAUCCUAAAUAAAAGACAACACUGAAAUAUCUAAACUAAUUGUUUAAGGGUCAACAAUUUUUUUUAUAGCAACUAUAUAUUAACAUAGUUUUAUAAAUUUAUUCAUAUAAACAUGAAAAUGCAAUAAAAUUUCAACUACACUUUUAGUUUUAUAACUUUGAAAUAUAUUCGUACUAUUUAUAUCCAAAAUUUUGCUGAAUUCAAACUUGAUAUUGAAUUUUCAACCAUCCUUUUUGCCAAAAAAAAUCAUAUAAUAUACAAACUUUUAAUAUUCUGUAUUAUACCCGUUCCAUUGUACUAUUGCCUUUUGUCUGAAUAGUCUAAAGAUGAGCUAGGAAAUUGGAAAAAAUUUACAACAAGAUACUAGAUAUUACUUUUUUUUUCUUUUUUUUUUUCAAGAUAUCUUACUCUAAGUAACCUAAUCAAUGACGAAAUUAAAUUGAUUGACUUUUACAAGUAAUUUGACAAUAUGAGAGGAACUAAAAUUCAAAAACAAUUUUACAACCAAAUAUAUAUACAAUAAAUAGAGCAAACGAUGAACUACACUAACAAAUAGAGGGAGUAGCGAAAUAGAACGCAAACACAAUUUGAUCUAUAGCGGUUCAGCAGCCUACCCCCAAUGUUUACUGCUAAAGAUCUCGCAAGUUUGGUGUUUCUCCGCUAAGGAUCCCUUCCAAUGGUGAGGUAACAACAUGCAAAAUAAGGAUCGCCUUCUCUAAUGGUACUAGCUAUAAAUUCAAGAAAAGCCUCACAAUACUCAAUAAAUUGUUUGAGUAUUACGAAUGAAACAACAAUCUUUGAAUUGUAGAUGAUACAAGUGAUGAUUCAUAUAUACCCUCAAUGGUAUACAUACAAAUAUGAAGCCCUGAGUAAUUCAAUGAAUGAGAUUAUGACUUGAUGAAACUCAAAUUCAAAGUUGCUAGAUCUAAAUCCAAGAAAGCCUCACAAUACUCACAAAUUAUUUUGAGUUUUACAAAAGAAAAAAAACAAUUUUCGAAGUGUAGAUGAUAAAAUGAUAGCUCUUAUACACCCUCAAUAGUGUAAAUACAAACUUUGAAACCCCAAGUUACUCAAUGAAUGAGAUUAUGACUUGAUGACACUCAAAUAGUGAGAAUUCUGAAGGCUUUUUAUGUUUAAAAUUGAUAGCUCAUUUAAUAUUUUCAUAUGAGAGAUUUUAGAGCAUUUAUAGAGGAGAAAAAUAAGUAGGGAUGGCAAUUGGGAUGGGUGCCGGCAGGAUAUUUUUUAAUGAUAUUAUUAUCUCAAUAAAUUAAAAAAAAUUUAGUGAUAUUAUUAUCUCAAUAAGUAGUGCUAAAAAAAAAAGUCGGUUGCCCUUACGGGUCAAACCCGUCAGACCAAUCAACCAAAGAGCCAAGUAGGUUACUGAUUUGCUGGCCAGGUUGAUAUCGAAAACAUAUUUUACAACAACUGUGAUAUCCUAUUUUAAAUGCUAAGAAAUAAGUUGUAUCUAUACACAUAUAUAAGAAGCAAUUGGAGUUUACUCUUUGGCGCAGUUUUCGCCUUGCACUUUCAUCUGCUUUGUUGGUGAGAAAAAAUUGAAAAUCUAGGGAUAAGUUUCAUUUGUUUUGUUAUGCGCAGGGAAGCAUCAUUUGUUUCUCUGCUCUAGGAAAUUCACGUGGACAUACGGUGGUAUCAUGCCAUAACCCACUAAUACUUGUUUGACAGCAUUACAGCAAUGCAGCAAUGGUUUAAUGUCAUAAACCAUUAACAUUCUUCUUCAUAAGCCAUUAACAUUCUUCUUUUACCGGAUUACAGCCACAUGGUUGGAUUUUGUGCAAUCAAAGGUUCAUCUGCUUUGUUGGUGAGAAAAAAUUUAAAAUGGAGGCACACGUCUAUUAGCAUACAGAGGGAAGCAUCAUUUGUUCCUUUGUUCUAGAAAAUUCAUCAUCUCAUAUGGAUAGGCGGUGGUUUCGUGUCAUAAGCCAUUAAUAUUCUUCCUUUACCGGCUUAUAGACCAUGCUCUUUGUACAUCUGAUAUCUUUAAAAUUGCAUUUGUGUCGCCGCAUUGUUUUUGUGCGUUCCAAGUGGAGUUUUAUUUUUGUGCCGUCUGGCUUUUCUUUGUGUGAAAGAAGAUAACCCAUUGAAAUCCUUAUUUGACCGGCCUACAGCAAUACAGCAAUAACAGUAUCUAAUGACUCUAUUGUCCUUCGAGAGCUAUAGUUCUUCGAGGUUCUUCUGAAACACUAUAAACGUUAUUUGUGGUUUCUUUGUUCUCCAUCUUGCAUGUUCUUUUCGUCAUCUUCCAUUUUCUUCUUUGUAGCUUUUAAACAAUUUGCAACUCUUAAACAAUAUGCUCUUUCUUUCUUUUGUCGACUUCUAGCUUCGUUUGCUGAGCUUCUUCUUUCUUGCUUCUUAUAUCUGCAACUUCAUUAGCUGCUUGUUAUCGGUGCAAGUUUCCUCACCAGUUACAGGUUCGGUUUUAUGUGCAUGUUUAUUUUUGUUAUUCUGCUGUUUAUUGAAUGUCUUAUUGGUUUUGAAUUGCUACAUGUUGCACUUUUGUUUAUUGGCUAUUUGAUUCUUGUUGUCCAAUAAAAUGAGCUUCUCCAAGUUUGUUGUUGAUUCUGCUGAUUCAAUAACUACAAAAAAGAACCAACGUAAUAAAAAACUAAGAGAACAAUACGCUGCACUCUCUCCUCAAGAAAAGGAAAUUCGCUUGGCCAAACAAAGAGAGGCAUAUCAGAGAAGAAAAUUAAAUAAUUUUUUAGCACUUCCUGCUCAUGAACAAUUAAAACGAGCUGAAAAAUUAAUUAUUGGGGAGACUUUUCGCAUUCACUGUGACCAAACAAAAGUUGAAGAGGAACAGGAUCGUCUGGCAAAAAAAAAAGGAAAUCCGUCGACAGAAGUAGAGAGAGGCUUAUCAUAGGAAAAAGUUGCACUUAUCUUUUGGUGCUCAUACAUCAGAACAUACUGAAGAAAUUGUCCAUGCUGCUCCUGCUACUGCGUUAACUACUACUAUGAUUACCAAUUGCCUGUCGAGUGAAGAUCCAGAAAAUCUUAAAAAAAAUCCCUUGACGCCCGAGCAUCGUGCGGGGACCGCACGUAGUUUAUAUAUAUAUGAAUGUAAAAAUCAUAUGCAAUAACAAUUCCAAUAAUAAGUUUCUUCAACAAAAAGUUAAAAUUUUUAAUUAUGUAUAAGAGCAUGAAAGUUCAAGUCAUUAUUGACUUAAUUUUUUUGGAUUGAAAAUUAAAAAGAACUACAUAAGUGGUCUACAUUUACCCACUGUAAGAUUUAGAACCCAAACUAUCAAAACAAAUCUCUUAGGGUUUGUUUGAUAACAUAAAAAAGUGCUAAAUCUGAAUUUUUUCAGACAUUCAGAUGUUUUGAAUGUUUGAUAAAUGAAAAUAUAUUUGCUGAACUUGUUAAACAGUGCUGAACCUGUGUGUAUUUUUUUCAGCACAAGAAUCCUAACUGAAUGCUUAAUUCUGAUAAGAAUCAAUAAAAUUACUUCAACUACCUUAUCUUAUCUACCAAAUCUACCCUUAUUUGUUAAUUAUGUUCAAAGUUCUUAUCUAAUUAAACAACAUAAUAUUUUCUAUCUAACGAUUUUUAGUUUCUCUUUUCUUCCUUUUUAAUGACUUUCACAUCUUCUCUAUACUCCUUAUAUAAUAUAUUUCAUCUUUUAUAUUAAUUUGAUUUAAAAAUAAAUAUUGUCAUUUUUAUACCUAAUAAUUUUAAACUAAUUAAAUCAUAGAUUCUAUUUCUUUUUUGAAUGAAAGGAUAUAAGGGCAAAAUUGUCAAAUUAAACUUAUUAAGCAUUCAGCUAUAAAUAUUUAUCAAAUAAUAUAAAUAGGUUUAGCAUUAAAAUUCAGACAUUCAUAUAUUUUUUUCAGUGCUUAAAAUUCAGCAAAUUAAUUAUUUCAGUAUUCAGAUUUCAGAAUUCAGACUUCAGAAUUCAGAUUCAGUUUUAUCAAACGGAACCUUAGUUAUGAUAUAUAGAUGCAAAUCAAAUAUCCUAUUAGUUCAACUAUUUACAAACAAUUGCGAUCCUUGUAGAAUUCGGCCCUAAUACUAACAAAUGUUAUUCUGAUAGCAAGAUUGUACAAUCCAGAUUCCAACUAUAUAGGCAUAAUAACAAUAUAAUGUAUUCAAAUAACUGUAAAUAGAAUUAAACCUAUCUCAUUAACCAACUAUAUAACACUAAAGCACUAACAAGUUGAAAGAAAUAUAUGCUACCUAUAUGUCAAAUAUCAAGAAAUAUAUGCUACCUCUUUGUUAAAUAUCAGUCUAUCUAAGAAUAAUACGGGUGUGUUUAGAAUUGGACAUUGGACUAGGACUGUCAAUGGGGUCGGAUCAGCCCAUACUCGGUUCGUUUGGCCCUAAACAAAGUCCGAUGAACCCAACCUUUCAGUGAGUCAGUAUGAGUCUGUAUCUAAAAAUUAGGCCUGAAUUAAAUAUGAGCGAAACUCGAGCCCCAUUAGACUCAAAUCGAUAUAGGCACGCCCCUUUAAUUGCCUAUAUAUAUAAUGAUAUAUAUAAUAUUUAUAUUUUGAUAUUAUAUAUAAUUAUAUAUCUAAAUAUAUUAUUACUAAAUACUAAAUAUAUACAAAUUACAAAACACAAAAAGACAUCUGAAAACUCUUUUAUUAGUUUUCUUGAGAGUCAGUAUUGGUAAUGCAUAACUGAAACUCUUACUUUUCUUAUUGACUGAAUAAAUUUUUGUGUUGGCAUAAUAUUGGUUGAUUUAUUUUGAGUGUAGAAACACAAAUCAUCGAGUAUGUUUGGAUUUAAGUCACAAGGUUAUGAAGAAGUUCUAACCUUUGAAGAUGUAUUGACUUAUAACCGCAUGUUUAUUACUGUUUUUCAUGUACUUUGAACGAAUUACAUAUAAAUAUUGUUGAAAAAUUCUUGGUUUAUGUACUUUUUAAGAACUAUUACUUAUUUGUGUUUAGUUUUAAUGUUGUAGUCAUGUAAAUAUUAAAUUAGUUUUACAACUCAAUAGUUAUAGUAAUUAUAUUAAGAAAAUUGAAGAGCAAUAAGUGAGUUGGAUUAAACCUGAAUAAGGCUCAAAAUCCGAAUAUUUUGUGAGUUGAAUAUGAUCUUCACAUUUAUUAACCCGAAACUCAUGGCCCGAAAUCCAAAAAUAUUACAAAUUAAAUGAGUUGAACCUGAACUUAUGAAAGCCCGACUCAUAUGACCUGAUUGACAGGCCUACGCUGGACUCGAAUUCCACCGUCUGCUUAACAUAUUGGUUAAUGAUGUAGGAACUGUAUCAGUAAAUCUUUAUGGUCCAACUAUCCGGUGCCAAACCAAUAACAACAUACAUAAAAUUGUGAAUGUCACAGUAUGUAAGGAUAUAUUCUUUUCAUAAACUCUUAAUUCCAAAUAUUAAAGUACAAAAGAUCUUAGUUGUUUAGUUGAUGAAAGAAAACCAAAAUUACUUUUUUCUUUUUUUCUUUUGUCAAGAUUAAGUAAACUAAGCGGGGAAUGUUGUCUCAUAAUGACCUCUCAAAGAUCGACUGAUUGUCAAUAUGAAAUUGCUCUCAAUGUGUAGAUGACUUUUUCCCUAAACAAAACCCUCGAUUUAAAUAGCAUUUCUCCCAUAACUUUUCUCUCAUCCAAAAACUUAGCCCUUUUUUAAUGGCAUAGUACUAAUUCACCAGAGAUUUUACCCAUCUUCUGAUCAACCCCCAUUUAAGGAUCAAACCCUUUGAAUUAACACUAACCCAACUUAUUUUGUCUCUUUCCCCGUUCUACUUGAGAAAGGAAGCGUAGGGAAAGAGUGGCUAUGUUCUAGAUACCAUUAGGCGUGACAAAUUGAUGUAAAACCAACUGCAUAAUUGCAAAUCACACAUUCUUUGUAAUUAUUUUAACUACAAAUCUUGCCUUAACAUUCUCGUGCCAAAAAUGAAUUUAGUCGGCAUGAUGUUGAUAAAAUUCACUAUUUUGUACUAAAAACACUUGUCAACUUUUGGAAAAAAGGAAAGACUUGAUAAACAUAAAAAAAUUAAUUAAGUUAAAAUUUUGAGUUAAUUAUAUUUACCUCCCCUGAGAUUUGACCAAACUACCAAACAGGCCCUAAGGUUUGGUGAAAUAACAAAGACCUCCUUUCAGUAACUUUCAUCAAAUAGUUUGUACCGAACUAGCGUAAAGACUAGAUGCCCACAACUGGAUUAGUAUAUUUUUAAGUUCCAAAGGAAAGAAUUUGGAAAUACAUAAACACCAUAUUUUAGUUUUAAAAAAUCUAUUUUCCUCUUUCUUUCUUUUUUUUUUUUUUAAAAAUAUUUUCAUCUCCUUCUUCAUAAAUUCCUAAAAGCUUUUUAAAGCUGCUGCCAUGUCUAUGGAAGCAACACUUGCAGCCUAGCCUUCCCUGCCAUUCUCCGUCAACCGCUACCACCUCCGGCAAUUGCCAAAUAUGCACGAUUGAUUUAUUUUUCCAAGUACAUAAUGAUUUCAGCCUCAGAUUUGGCCAAAAAAAAGGGUAGAAUAAAGAAAAGUCCAAUGUGAUUAAGUGAAUAUAUAGAAAAACCCAUGUGGUAAAUUAAAUUUAUAAAAAUCAUUUAAAUUAAUGAGUUUGUGAUAAACGCGUUGUAUGGCAAAUGCUUGACUUGAAAAAAUAAUUUUUUAAAUCAAAAUUUUAGCUAAUAUAUCUAUUAGACCCCUUAGAGAUCAUAAAAAAAAAAUCAAAAACCAUCGUAAACUCCCAAAUACAACUCACCGUAUUUUUAUACACAAAUAAAUAAAUAAAAAUUUUCAAAUACAACUCAUGUUAUUUCUAUACAUAAAAUAAAUAAAUAAAAAUUCUCGAGUACAACUCAUCUCAUUUCUAUAUACAAAAUAUAUAAAUAAAAUACCACCAUCCCUACCUCUUGCCGCCUCCAUACUCCACCUUCCAUCACCACCCUUUUCCCUCUCCUUCUUCCCUAUCUCCAUUUCCCCUCCCUCCCCUUCAUCCCACUCCCUCUCAUCUCCUCACAGCUACUUCACCAUAUACUCUCUUUUCAAUUACCAUAGUCAGUUGUGGAAGAGAGGAAAGGGGUGAGGAGAAGGAGUCGUGAUUAGAUCACCCCUUCCCCGCAUCCCUUCCCCUCCCUCCUGUGAUAGAUCUAGUCACAGAAAGGAUGUGAGGAAGUACAGAAAAGGGGUUGCAAAGAGAAGGAAGGUAGGUGUAGAGCAGGGAAACGAGAAGAAAGAGGGAAGGGGAAGGGAGAGUAGGAAGAAGGAAAGGAAUGAGGUUUAGAUGGAGGGGAGGGUGAUGGUAGAUGGUGAAAAAUAAUGGUGGCGUCAAUAGGUAACCAUAGGAGGCUUUUUUAUAGAUUGAUUUAACCACAGAAAGUUUUUCCGUAGGUUUGUUUAAUUAGAAUGGUUGUUACGGUCUUUUUUACUUAUAUAUAUUAGGGUAAUUGUAUGAUUUCAUCUGCCUCCGUUAAUUUUGACGAUUUUCAUUGCUAUUUCAAAUUAGUUCAAAUCACGAGUAGAGUUGAAAGAUGAACCAAACUAUUUGCUAUUCAAAUAGAACUUGACUUAGUAAGAGCUCAUCGGAACUUGGUUUGCCAAGUAAUCAAGUCAAGAUUGGACAGUGUUGGAUAAUAUUCAAACUCGAUAAAAAAAUUUGUUCAAAUUUAGUUAGGCAAAUAAACAAGUCAAAUUUGAAUAAAAUUUCAAAUUCGUUAAAAUAAUCAAAAAAGUUUGAACAUUAGAGUGUUUGGUUUGAUUAAAUUCAUUUACACCUCUUCCCACGAAAGAUCGGAAUGUAUGAUUUGAAACUAUAAGAAACUUUUUUGUAGGUUAAUUUAACUACAAGGGACUUUUUUGUAUUUUGCCAAAAAAAAAGAUUAUAAAUCUAUCAAACAACCGAAAACUAGUGGGCCUUUCCUCCUUCACCACUCACUCAAUUGGAGAUCAAAAUCCACUAUACUUUACUGGAAUAAUCCUCAUGAAAAAUACAACAGAAACCAAGCACAAUACAUUCCUUGAGUAUGAUAUGGGAUUGAAAAUUUUCAAUUGGAACCAAUCAAAGUAUCAGACCGAUAACUCCGUAUAAAAUUUUCAAUUUUGGAGAUGCUUUUCAAAAACUUUAUUGUAGUAAUAUAUGUAAAAUGCUUUUGACUAUAGAUGAUUUGUUUGAAUUAGGUGCUUUUGGAGAUGUUAUUUGGGGUGUUUUUAAAUUUAAAUUUUUAUUGAGAUAUUUUUUAAAAAUUUGUUAUUUUUACCAUAAUCACUAACCACCAUCGGUCACAAUCACCAUCUCCUCCCUCCUUCCUCUUCUCCUCUUCUCCCAUCCCAUCUCUCGCAAUCCCCUUUGUGCCGCAACUAGACUAGGGGGAAAGGAGGGGAGAGGGUAGUAGAGAAGGGAAGGGAGAAGAGGAAGGAGGGGGAGGGAGGAGAAAAAUGUGGAUGGCAACAGGAAGGGUUUGGGGCGGGGAACUGUCCCCCACCCCCUACCCUAUUGUCAAAAGACUCCCCAAGGCCAUCUCCCUUCCUAUUCCCUCCGCCCGUGCUCUGCUUCUGCAAUGGGUACCCGUGGGUGAGCAUUUCUUUUUCUUUUUCUUUUUUUUUUUUCGUAUUGAAGAGGAAGAUUUCAAUUUUAAGCAAACCUACGUUUGCAAUAUAUAUAAAUUAGUAGUCCAACAAAACCUUAUAUUCAAAUUGUUUCUCCUCAAAAGUGAGAUUUAUUUAUUGGUGGACAAGCAAGCAUUAGACAAGUGUGCUAAUAGAUUGCAAAGAAAAGGUUAACAAAAUAGUUUUAAAUUCUUCCAACUGACACAAUUUCAUCAAACUGAGAGUGAGUGGCGGCUGAAAAAGAAGAAGGUAUGUGGCAAAGAAAGAAACGAACUAGAGAAAGAAAUGUAGAAGAAGGUUAGGUUGAAUGUUAAUAGACUUGUUUGUUUCUCUAAUAUUUGAUAUUUUAUGUCUAGGAUAUAAAUAAAACUAAAACCAUUUAAACUAACAUACAUAUAAUCUUAUUAAGAUUGUAAAUAUAGAGAAUUCAUCAAAGUUUUAUCUAAUUAUUAAUUAAGACUAGUUUAUAAUAAUUAUAUAAUUAUAUAUAUAUUCAUUUAUAUUUAUUAAUUGAAAUGGUGGAAUGAAGGUAGGGAGGAUUCAUUUAAAGCGACAGGAGAAAAAUCUUCCUCGCCCCUACCCCUGUCCCUUCCCCUCCUCCCCCCCCCCCCCCCAAAAAACCUCUGCCCCCAUUACUUCUUCUGUGGGGUGGAGAGAGGAAGUAGGAGAGGGGAGAGGCGACAGUGGAGGUAGAGGAGGGAGGAGGGAGGAGGGGAAAGGUGGUAGUGAGUGGUGGGUGAAAAAGAUGGUAAGAUUUGUUAUUUUUUUAAUUUUUUUAUAAGUUGUAUUUGAAAUUAUUUUUGGAGUUUAUUACUGAAAAUGCACAGACAAAAUAGUUUGUGGAAAAACUCCUAAUCCAAACAGAGCAAUCUUGCAAAAUUGGUCACAACAAAAGUUCCCACUAGGCAUUGCCAUAUGCUCAACCAAUGGGCCAAAAACCUUCCGACAGAGAAGUUUAUUUAGCCUCAGCAUCUUCUCAACAUUUGCCUUCUUUUAAAUACUAGAAGAAUGAAUGAGAAGAAGUCACACAUACUUCAACUUAUUACAGAUAAUUUUAUUUUAAAAUAAAUUUUAUAUAUACUGACAGUAUAUAUAUUAUUAUCAUUGGAUUCAUGACGAAUAUGUCAAAGUUGAAUUUUAAAUUUAAAUUAUUAUAGUUGUCAUUCAUCUAAAGGAAAAUUAAUCCUUUAUUUUAUUGACAAGUUUGUAGGAACAUCAAAAUAAUGCUAAUUGGAGAAAUUCCGGCUAGUCAUCAGAAUGUGCUUGUCAAAAUAAUGCUAAUUGGAAAGGAAUUCCCCUAAAAGAGGUACUUUUAGUUGAUCAAGUCAUUUUUUAACAAUGACCAAGUUAAAUGAAAUUGGAGAGAAAUUCCUUAAAAGAGGUACUUUUAGUUGACCGAAUCAUUUUAUUUAAAUGACAAAGUUCAGUUAAAUGAAAAAAAAUGUUUGGUCAUUAUUGACCAGGUCAAUUUUUGUGGAAUUUGCAAUAAUGGACUAAACGGUUGAUAGAUAUGUUAAGAUUGGAUUUUAUUCUUGUCAUCUAUCCCAUUUUGAUAGUUCUAAUUUUUUUUUUCACACAGUUUAAGAAAAAAUAGUUAACUUUAUUGAAAAAACAAAUUUAGAUUGCUAUUUUUCUAAAAUAUCCUUACAUUAAAUGAAGUUGGCUUUUCAUAUAUCAAUAUGUUUUGGAAAAUCUAAAUGCAUUAAAUGGUGUAGGUUAUAUUCAAUACUAACAAUCUAUAUUAAAUAAGGUAGUUUACAGUAAUAACAACUUACAUUAAAUAAGGGUAUUUUAGAGAAAUUAAAAGACAACUAUAUUCUUCAAUUGGAAAGUGGACUACAAUUUAGGACAGACGAAAAAGGAAAACAGGACUAUUAAAAUGGAACGGAGGGAGUACAUAACAUGGACUCUAAAAAGGGCAAUCCUCAAUGAAGUUGAAAUUAAUGAACUCAUGGAAGGGCAAGGACAUCUAGGAAGGUGGAUAGACGGUUCAAGUCAAGAAAUUAAUGGAAGUAUGAACCAAUAAUCAAACCUAUAGCUCAAACUCCAGUUCCAAAGCUAGCAAUGCAACAAAUUUUUGAAUAAAUUUAUGAGAAAGGUGAAGUUGUUUGCAACAUAUAUUCAAAGAAUAAAUGAAAUCUAUGCAAAAGUUCGUAUUCCAAAAAGGAUAUAUGAACUUUCUUUGCUUAAGUUCUUUUAUUAUAUUCCUUGAAUUGGCCGAGAUGGUAAAGCCGGUAUCAUACUUUCUUGUCAAUCCGAACUCGAACAUCUCCUAAAACAUCUGCCUGUCGCAUAGGGCUUAUUUAGUGCGGUUUAUCCCUCCAUGUGGCUGGCGGGCUAUUGUAUGGAAUUGGGUUUACUCAGUGCAUACUUUCGGAUAGCGGCUGUGGAUUCCCUUGUUAACAAAAAAAUUUUUGUAUUAUAGAUAUUAUUCAAGUCCCUAACAAAAAUUAACAAUUUGGGUGUGUGUGUAUAAAUAUAAUUUUUGGUUUUAAACCAUAAAUGUUUAGCAACUGGAACCUUAUUGGAUGUUUGGAUUGCAUUUUUCUGAAUUUUUUGUAGAAAAAUUACUAUAGUGAUUUGAUAUAUGUGAGGUAAAAGAUAAUUGAAAAAUAUGUCCACGAAAAAUGUAGCAAUUUUUCUUUAAAAACUUGCAAUCCAAACGUACUCUCAGCGGAGAAUACUCUACUGUUCUACUUUUCUGACUUGUAUAUGUCCAAGUCAACUGACUAAAACAUUGAUAGGAGACUUUUCUAAUGUCACAGCAAAUUCCUAUUGACACAACGAAUGUGUUCUUCUCAAAGUGAACUAAAUCUUUAGCAGUGAAAUUUGUAAUUGUAUUUUAAAAGAAAUUUGCUCUGAAACUAUAGUAGGUGCUGUGAUUAUUUGCCAUAUCACGUAUGAUUCUAAGCCAAAUUUCGAAUUAGGUUAACUACACAUUCUUUUUUCUUUUUUUUUUUCAAUUUUUUAAAUAUCACUUGCUUUAAAAAGUAUACCCCUAAACUUUAAUUACUUAGGCAAUGUUAUAAAAGCUUUCAACUUGUUUGGACUGUACUUUUAGUAGAAAUUUUUCUUUUGGAUUUUUAGUGGAAUUUUUGGGUUUUCGUGAAAUUAUUCUUUUUCACAUGUUUCAAACUACUUUUUUUUUUACCUUAUAUAUAUCACAUCUCAAAAAAAAAUGCUCUAGUAAUUUUUCUACAAAAAUUUCCCAAAAAUGCAAUUCAAAUGGGUUCAUGAAGUCAAUUUUCGAUGGUUGACUUGAAGGACCCAUUGCCACCAAAGACAUUAAACCCAACAUACAGUCAACUGCAUUGCUAUUCACAAUUUCACAGAACUAAUUUACCCUAGUUUCAAGUUUCAACUGCAUUGCAAUUCACACAAUUAGUCAACAAUAGCUGACCACAACUGCAGCAAUUGACAAAGCAUGAUAUAGGAAUGUCUAUUAGUACAAGGUAUUUUCGUAGCUUCAAUGCCAUUGGUAAUGGUUAGAAACUCAAAAGAUUUCUUCCUUUUGGGCACUAAACCUAUGUUUGGAUAGAGUAUUAUUUGAAAUAAUUACUGUAGCAUUUUUUUGUGAUGUGAUGUAUGUGAGAUAAAAAGUAGUUGAAAAUAUAAAAAGAUAAAUUGAAAAAUGUGUUUAUGAUGUAAGCAAAAUAUUAUUUAAAAUAAUUUAGCAAUUCAACUACAUUUGUGUUUGGAUUGCUAAAAAUGAUCAUUUUUUUUUGUAAGAUAAAAAUGAUCAUUUUUAUGAGUAAAUCUUAUGUAUACUGAUAGUAUAUACAUUAUUACCGUUGAAUCCAUGACACAUGUGCGAUAAUUGAAUUUUAAAUUCAAAUUUUAUAUAAUUAUCGUUCAUUCAAAAUUGACAAUAUAUACGCUACCAAAAAAUUGUUAGACCAAAACUCCCAUUGCCUAUUUACAAGUCAUUCAUGAGUUAAAUUUCUACCAACGCAUGGGUUACGGGUUCAAUGGAUAAGCCAGACUCUUUAUUUUGUUGUUUCUAUAUUACACUAAAAAGUUUCAAGCAAAAGUCAUUUCCUAUAAUCGUGGAAUCUUUUCCUUCUUCUACUUCUUCUUCUUUUCUUCUUCUUCUCGAUAUCUACAUUUACUUAUUUCUUAAACCAAUUUGAAGUAAUCAAAGUGUGGAUAUCAAAUACGUGUGUCAAUGCCAUUUCAAUAUUUAAUAUAUGAUUGAUUGCAAACAUUUCACAUUGUCAUUAAUUUACUAUCAACAUUUAAAUACUUUCUUGUUCUGGUUGGUUAUUUUAACUAAUUGUAACUUUUGUUUUUAUAUAAGGGAUAAUUUCAUUGACCUCCCUUGAGGUUUCGAAAAUAACACUGACCUCCCCUCAACUGAUUUUGGGACCCAUUGCUGAUGUAACCUGGAAUGAAUUUGCUACUUUGCCCUUAUGCAUAAAAGGGUGAUGAGAAACCAAUUUCAGGAAAAAUAUAAUUAGGUCAUUAAAUAAAUGAACUAAUUAAAUGAUAUUAACUGUAGUUCUAUCUCUAAUAAGCCAAUGUAACUACACUUAAGAAAUGACACUAAUUGAUGCACCAAUAUGGAGCCAUUUUUUGUGAUUGGACAUGACUUUAGAGAGCAACACAAGGAUAGUAUUAUACGAAAACUUGGCGAAGAUGGAAAAAUGGAGGGAAAAGAAGGAAAAAAGCAUAGCUCCCCUAAGGUUAAAAUAUGCUGAUUUGCAUUAAGAUUAUUGACAUGCUACCCACUCAUGCUUUUGUAUAUGGUUGGCAUUAGUGACAAACAAUCAAUGGUCAUGAAAUUUGGCUUUGCAAUCCUCACCAUCUGCCUCAUUCAUCUGGGGCAGAUGGUGUUUGAAACUAUAUUGGAUUGCAUCUAUAGUUAUGUAAUACUAUAACUGCUACAAUUAUAGCAAUUUUGAACUAAUGUCAAGUGACUUUUGUUGCCUUACUAACUAGUUCAACUAAUAAGUUGUUGCUUAUUAUCUCUUAGUAAAGUUACAGUAGUAGUCAUCUAACAAUAGUCGUACAUUUCUUCCAAAUACAAUCCAACUGACAAGUAUUACUGGUUUACUUCUUACAUAAUCAGAAAAGAUUUAAAAUGGUUGGUACAAUGUCGUGACACUUUUAUAUUUGUUACAAGAGUUUAUCCAAUUGAUUUUAUAUUUUGGAUGAAUAUAGAUACAACACCUAGUAUGAUAUUUAUGAUGAGUAUCAUGUUAACUAUGGCCUUUGGUUGGUCUAGCCUUGCCACUUUUUAUUACCUCAAAAUUAGAUAAUCACACUAAAAAUAAAUUAUUUCUUGAGUUGCUUGAGCCGUUUAUAUGCUUUUGAAAGAAACUUAAAAUAUGGCCAUUGCACUAGCCAUUUGUGCAAACUGAAGCUUCAAGUUGUUGUUACUGCACUUUUCCUAAUUGCUAUGACACCUACUAGAAUUUACUAAUUAUGUUUGUCUUUUAAUAGUUUUCAUUAUUUACUAAUACAAGUUGUGGAUAAGCAAAAAGGGCAUAUGUGGAACACAAAUAUCAUCUCACUCCUCAAAAUAUUUUUUUAAUGCUCAUUUUCCUGACAUGGGCUGAUCAUGUUACUACAACUAUAAGUUCAGGGGAGGUUUAUGUCAUUUUCAAAACCUUAGGGGAGGUCAAUGAAAUUGUUGGAAACCUCAGGGGAUGUUUCUGAAAUUAUCCCUUUAUAUAAUCAGUCUCUUUUGAUGUUUUCGUUUGUUUGAUUUUGUAUUUGGAUUAUGGAGUUUUUAAUAGACAAAAAAAGUUAAAAUCUAAAAUCUAUCAAAAAGUAGCUUUUGGUGAUUCUUGUUAUUCUCUGUUUAUUUUCCAUAAUCACACAUUUUUUAAAAUCUAAAGUAAAAUGCUAAAAACAUCACUCACCAGAGGCCACUUAUUUCAUAAUAAAUAAAAUAAUACUUAGUAUGUUGGUUUCAUUUGCAUGUGUUUCUCAAUUAUUUUUUUUAAUUUUUCUAACCAUGUUUUUAUUUUACAAACAGCACAUUCUAAAAAAAAUGCUAUAAUAUUAUAGCAAAAAAAUUAAAUAAUUUUUAAUCCAAAUAGACCCACUAGUUUCACUAUCUUCACAUCAAAAUAGAACAGAAAAAAAAGAAAAUAUUUUUCCUUUUGAAAAUCUAAAGUAAAAUGCUAAAAACAUCACUCACCAGAGGCCAUUUAUUUCAUAAUAAAUAAAAUAAUACUCACUAUGUUGGUAUUUAUUGCAUGUGUUUCUCAGUUUUUUUUUAAUUUUUCUAAUCAUGUUUUUAUCUUACAAACAGCACAUUCUAAAAAAUGCUAUAAUAUUAUCGCAGAAAAAAUUAAAUAAUUUUUAAUCCAAAUGAACCCACUAUUAUCACAAUCUUCACAUCAAAAUAGAAAGAGAAAAAAAGAAAAUAUAUUUCCUUUUCCAUUUCGAUUAUAUUUACCUCCUAAGUUUGUUUUCUAUAAAUACUGGAGUCCUAGAACCGGGAGACAGCCACAGCAUCAAAACUUACAAAGACAGAGUAAAGCAGAGACAGGGAGAGGAUUGAGGAGGAUGGCAGCAACAACAACAAGAGCAAAGCCUGAGGCACCAAAGAUAGUGUGGAAUGAGAAAGACCGAAAAUUUGAGACAGAGGAUAAAGAAGCAUACUUGCAGUACCAGCUCAGAAAUGGGGGAAAAGUUAUGGACAUCAUCCAUACUUAUGUUCCUUCUAGCA